ACGCUGGCGGCGUGCCUAAUACAUGCAAGUCGAGCGAACAGAAGGGAGCUUGCUCCCGGAUGUUAGCGGCGGACGGGUGAGUAACACGUGGGUAACCUGCCUGUAAGACUGGGAUAACUCCGGGAAACCGGAGCUAAUACCGGAUAGUUCCUUGAACCGCAUGGUUCAAGGAUGAAAGACGGUUUCGGCUGUCACUUACAGAUGGACCCGCGGCGCAUUAGCUAGUUGGUGGGGUAAUGGCUCACCAAGGCGACGAUGCGUAGCCGACCUGAGAGGGUGAUCGGCCACACUGGGACUGAGACACGGCCCAGACUCCUACGGGAGGCAGCAGUAGGGAAUCUUCCGCAAUGGACGAAAGUCUGACGGAGCAACGCCGCGUGAGUGAUGAAGGUUUUCGGAUCGUAAAGCUCUGUUGUUAGGGAAGAACAAGUGCGAGAGUAACUGCUCGCACCUUGACGUACCUAACCAGAAAGCCAC
rnacentral:rRNA from 1 species